GCCGCAGCCACGCACUUGGCCCGGGCCCGGAGGGGCGGGCGGCCGGGGCCUUCGAGGCACCGAGUACCCUGUUUCAGUCUGGCCCCCCGUUUCGAUCUGAGGGGUAUCCGAGCUUGGGCGCGAGUGCCCGGUCAGCUGCCGCCGUACCUGCCUUCCGCCUUCCCGCGCUCCAAACCUGGGCGCUUCCCUCUGACACCGUGAUCCGAUCCCGGAGCUGCCAUGAUUGAAGUGGUGGCGGAGCUGAGCAGAGGUCCUGUGUUUCUGGCAGGGGAGGCGCUGGAGUGUGUGGUGACCGUCACCAACCCCCUGCCACCGACGGCCACUUCUGCGUCCAGUGAGGCUCUGGCCUGGGCCAGCGCCCAAAUCCACUGCCAGUUCCACGCCAGUGAGAGUCGAGUGGCAGUACCUCCGCCCGACUCCAGCCAGCCGGAUGCCCAGCCCGAGAGCCAGACUGUCUUUCUUCCACACCGAGGUGAGAGGGGUCAGUGUAUCCUUUCUACUCCACCAAAAAUCCUCUUCUGUGACCUGAGGCUAGACCCUGGAGAGUCCAAAUCAUACUCCUACAGCGAAGUGCUGCCUGUGGAGGGACCACCCUCGUUUCGGGGUCAGUCAGUCAAGUAUGUCUACAAACUGACCAUCGGCUGCCAGCGUGUCAACUCACCCAUCACUUUACUCAGGGUCCCUCUGAGGGUUCUUGUGCUCACUGGCCUCCAAGAUGUCCGGUUUCCCCAGGAUGAGGCUGUAGCCCCAUCCAGCCCAUUCCUGGAGGAGGACGAAGGUGGGAAGAAGGAUUCGUGGCUCACUGAGCUUGCUGGGGAGCGACUUAUGGCCGCCACGUCCUGCCGCAGCCUCCAUCUGUACAACAUCAGUGAUGGCCGAGGAAAAGUUGGGACAUUUGGCAUCUUCAAAUCUGUAUACAGACUUGGCGAGGACGUGGUGGGGACCUUAAACUUAGGGGAAGGAACUGUAGCUUGUUUGCAGUUCUCGGUGAGCUUACAGACGGAGGAGCGUGUGCAGCCUGAUUACCAGCGGCGUCGCGGGGCCGGAGGUGCCCCCUCGGUGUCCCACGUCACUCAUGCCCGGCACCAGGAGUCCUGCCUACACACGACCAGAACCAGCUUCUCUCUCCCCAUCCCGCUCAGCUCCACCCCAGGCUUCUGCACAGCCAUUGUGUCCCUGAAGUGGCGUUUGCAUUUUGAGUUUGUCACCUCCCGAGAACCUGGUUUGGUGCUCCUACCUCCCAUGGAGCAGCCCGAGCCCGCCACCUGGACGGGGCCUGAGCAAGUGCCCGUGGACACCUUCAGCUGGGACCUGCCCAUCAAGGUGCUGCCGACGAGCCCUGCCCUGGCCUCCUACGCGGCCCCCGGCCCCAGCACCAGCACUAUAACCAUCUGACCCUGGCCCACAGCCUUCUUCAGGAUCCUGAGAACUCAGCCCCUGGGCUCUGGGCUUUGCACAGAACAGAAGAGUUAAUCACUGGACAGGACAUUCGUGUGCUGUUAAGAUGCUGGAACUAGAAAUGACGAGAGUUCAUUGAAUGCAGUCACCUUCCCCCACUUCUUAUCUAUCAGUACAUCCAGAUCCUAGGCCUGCCUUUUCUUUCGGUUCAACCAAGCCCCCUGGUGUGGUUUUAACCUUUGCUAGUGAUUGAGGGGUAUUGAGUUAAGGGGAUGGGGGAAAGGAGAAGGGUAAGGGAAGGCAGGUGGAGAGGGAAGUUGGCAGAUUUACUUUGCUUUCUUCCCUUUCUGUGUUUGCAGAGAAAGCCUUUUCAGUGACUGACAGUUAAAAAAAAAAGACUAUAAUAAACGUUUGUGAGCCCACUUACAAAUAAAAACCUUAUCCCUCUGGCUGUUCUAACAACCUGCUCCUCUGAUGGAGAAGCUAUUCUUCCACUGUGUGCCUCAUAGAGUGUGGUCAGGGAGGCAUCUCUGUCCAUCUGCCUGCAUGCCUGUGUGCUGCCCUCUUUGGAAGGUCCAGACGCCAAUCAGAGUACAGGCCAGAAGUUCUUUGUUUUUUCACAGUGGGAAUUCUUUACUUUUGAAGCAUUAACCUGAUAAAAAAUACCUUUCUUCACUUUUUAACAUGGGCUUCCCUGGUGGCUCAGCUGGUAAAGAAUCUACCCGCAAUGCAGGUGACCUGGGUUUGAUCCCUGGGUUGGGAAGAUCCCUUAAAGAAGGGAAAGGCUACACCCCAGUAUUCUGGCCUGGAGAAUUCCAUGGACUCUGUAGUCCAUGCGGUCGCAAAGAGUUGGACAUGACUGAGCAGCUUUCACUUUCACUUUAACAUAGCUUAGGCCUGACUUUUUGAAAAUUAACUCCAGUUAAUCACAAGAGGGUGUACAAAUUCACACUCUAACUUCUGUGAAUUGCAAAGCAAAUUCCUUGAUUUUCUGCUGGUAAGAGAAUCUGUUCCUCUGAUAUGUUUCAGAGGCUGAUGGAUCAAGGAUACUCUUAUCCUACAAUGGACUGAUUAACCUUUGUAGUAACUUGUUGGCCAGCCACUAUUGAUAACAAAAAAGACAACUCCUUAACUGUUGUAAAAUAAUUAUUUUUUCAAUUUUAUUGAAAUAUAAUUUACAUAGAAGAUGUGCCCAUUUUAUUUAUUUUUUAAUUUUACUUUUUUGCUUAAAAAUUUUAAAUUGUCUAUCAAGUGAGUUUGACAGAAUUAUUGUUAGCUUUGUGACAAAAACAUGCUAGUAAUAUCUGGUGGCUCAUAGCCAACUUUUAGUGAUUAUAGUCUCUUUAUAUAAUUACUCACAGUAAUCCCUUUUAUAUAAGCAUCUUAAAAACCUGCUUCUCUCACUAACCAAGCCAGUUAGAAGAGUUUUAAAAGGACAACAGAUCUUUUUAAACUACAGAAGUAAUACACAUCUGUGAAAAAUGCAAACAAGAUGAACCCAUUUGAAAUGUGUGAUCAGUGAGUUUUGACAGGUAUCUACAUCUGUGUAAUCAUCUCUGCAGUCAAUAUGUAGAACAUUUCUGUCACCCUCCCAAAAUACUCCUUUGCCCAUUGCAAUCAUCUCUCUCUACCCACCCCAGACAUCCAGUGAUCAGAUUUCUCCAUAGAUCAGUUUUGCCUACUCUAGAGCUUUGUAUAAAUGGAAUCGUAUGGUAUGUAUCCUGUGUAUGGCUUCUUUAAUUCAGCGUUGUUUUUGAUAUCCAUCCAUGUUUCUGUGUAUAUCAAUAGUUCAUCCCUUCUGUUGUGGGGUAGUAUUUCAUUGUUGGAUAUACCACAGUUUAUCCAUUCACCUGUUGAUGGACAUUUGUUUCCACCUUCCAGUUUUGAACAUUCCCAUACAAGUCUUUGUAGAUAUGUAUGCACUUUCCUUGGACAGAUACCUUGGAGUGAAAUCUUAGGUCCUGUGGUAAGUGAAUGUUUAACUUGAUAAAGAAAAAACUGCCAAAUUUUUCCAAAGUGGCUGUACGAUUUUAUAGUUACCAGCAUUCUGUGAAAAUUCCAGGUUUCUGCAUCUCCUUCAGCACUUGGUAUUGCCAGUUAAAAAACAAUUAUUUUAGUAGGUGUGCAGUGGUAUCUCAUUGUGGUUUUAGUUUGCAUUUUCUCAAUGACUAAUGAUACUGAACAUCUUUUCAUGUGCUUGGUUGCCACCUAUCUUAAAUUUGGUGAAGUCUUCUUAAAUCUUUUGCCCACUUAAAGAAUUGGAAUGUUUGGCUUCUUGUUAUUGCAUUGUAAGAGUUAUUUAUAUAUUCUUUUUAUUAUAAAGGUUUUAAAAUAGUUUGGAUACAAGUCUUCUGUGAGUAUAUGAAUUGAAAGUAUUUGCCCAUGUUAGUGACUUGCCUUUUUUUUUUUUUUUUAUGGUAUCUUUUGAAGACCAGAAGUUUAAAUUUUUGAUGAAGUCUAAUUUCUUACUUUUUCCUUAUCUAGUUAGUCCUUUUUGUGCCCUGCAUAAAAAUUUUUUGUUUAUACCAAAGUCACAAAGAUUUUCUCCUGUGUUUUCCUCUAUAUGCAGAAGUUUUAUAGUUGUAACUUUCACAUUUGAGUCUGUUUAUGUUUAUGAUCCAUUUUGGUCACUUUGUCCUCACUGCACAGCAGAUGCAGCAGGAAAGGAAGAAUCUAAAAUAAA